rnacentral:rRNA from 1 species
GUACACGCUGUGACUAGCAUAUCAAUAAGCGGAGGAAAAGAAACUAACAAGGAUUCCCCUAGUAACGGCGAGUGAAGCGGGAAGAGCUCAAAUUUGAAAUCUUAAAGGGUUUCCCUUUACGAAUUGUAGUUUAAAGAAGUGUUUUCUGUUGAGGUUUUGGUAAAAGUUCUUUGGAAUAGGACAUCAUAGAGGGUGAGAAUCCCGUAUUUGACCUUUACUUUCAACUUUGUGAUACACUUUCAAAGAGUCGGAUUGUUUGGGAAUGCAGUCCAAAAUGGGUGGUAAAUUUCAUCUAAAGCUAAAUAUUGGCGAGAGACCGAUAGCGAACAAGUACCGUGAGGGAAAGAUGAAAAGAACUUUGAAAAGAGAGUUAAACAGUACGUGAAAUUGUCAAAAGGGAAGCGUUUGACACCAGUGUUGUUUUUCUGAAAAUCAAUUAAAGAACUGUUUAUGCUAAGCUGUUUAGACUAUAUCAGCUAUACUGUUUAGUUUUGAGCUUUUCUUUAAUGCACUUUUCAGUUAACAAGUCAACAUCAAUUUCUUUUGCUGUAAAAAAGCUUGAGGAAGGUGGCUUGAGAUUCGUCUUAAGUGUUUAUAGCCUCUUGCCUAUGCAGUCGGAGAGAUUGAGGUCUGCAGCGUAGAUCCUUCGGGGCUAAAUGCAUUUGUGCUAAGUUAUAGCAUUUUAUAGACAACUUGUUGACUAUGAUUUGUCUUGUAGCUUACUCGCUUAUGUUAUUUUACCUACGCUUAGGAUGUUGAAGAUGUAGCACAUCAU